UGGCCCGGGAUAUGAUGAUAGAUUACUGGGGGAUCGUCUGAACAAGGCCUGCGCUUAAUUGCGCGGCCAGUUCUUGAUUCUCUGCUAUCAGUUUUCUAUUUCUCAUCCUAAACACAAUGGAGUUUUUUCUCUAUGAACUACUUCCCUGGAGAGCUCGUCUCUCCAGUGGACAUAAACACAAACAAUAUUUUGUAUUAUGAAAAACUAUUAUACUAUAAAAUUUAAUAUUCAAAACUUUCAACAACGGAUCUCUUGGUUCUCGCAUCGAUGAAGAACGCAGCGAAUUGCGAUAUGUAUUGUGAAUUGCAGAUUUUCGUGAAUCAUCAAAUCUUUGAACGCACAUUGCGCCCUCUGGUAUUCCAGGGGGCAUGCCUGUUUGAGCGUCAUUUCUCUCUCAAACCUUUGGGUUUGGUAGUGAGUGAUACUCGUCUCGGGUUAACUUGAAAGUGGCUAGCCGUUGCCAUCUGCGUGAGCAGGGCUGCGUGUCAAGUCUAUGGACUCGACUCUUGCACAUCUACGUCUUAGGUUUGCGCCAAUUCGUGGUAAGCUUGGGUCAUAGAGACUCAUAGGUGUUAUAAAGACUCGCUGGUGUUUGUCUCCUUGAGGCAUACGGCUUUAACCAAAACUCUCAAAGUUUGACCUCAAAUCAGGUAGGAGUACCCGCUGAACUUAAGCAUAUCAAUAAGCCGGGAGGAAGGACAUUAAAGAUUAUGAAUGAAUAGAUUACUGGGGGAAUCGUCUGAACAAGGCCUGCGCUUAAUUGCGCGGCCAGUUCUUGAUUCUCUGCUAUCAGUUUUCUAUUUCUCAUCCUAAACACAAUGGAGUUUUUUCUCUAUGAACUACUUCCUGGAGAGCUCGUCUCUCCGUGGACAUAAACACAAACAUAUUUUGUAUUAUGAUAAACUAUUAUACUAUAAAAUUUAAUAUUCAAAACUUUAACACGGAUCUCUUGGUUCUCGCAUCGAUGAAGAACGCACGAAAUGCAUAUGUAUUGUGAAAUGCAGAUUUCUGAAUCAUCAAAACUUUGAACGCAAUUGGCCUCUGUAUCAGAGGCAGCCUGUUUGAACGCAUUUUCUCUCCAACUUGGUUUGGUAAUGAGAAAGCUCCGGUUAACUUGAAAUGGCUAGCUGUCCAUCGCGAACAGAUGCCGUCAGCUAUAUGAUCAACUUGCAAUCACUAAGUUGCCAUCGGUACUGCCAAAGAACUCUACGGUUUGAAAGCCUGGGUGUUUCUUAGAUACGCUUACAAGAUCAAUUGACACUCACGCGGGAGGGUAC
rnacentral:rRNA from 1 species